rnacentral:tRNA from 1 species
CAGAAGAUAGUUUAAUUUAGAAUCUUGGCUUUGGGAGCCAGGGGUGGGAGUUAAAAUCUCCUUUUUCUG